GUUAGAAGUAGCUCUUUCAGGAAAUGAAGAACAGAAGCCUUUUGAUUACAAAUUGCGGCCUGAAAUUGCUGUCUACGUAGACUUGGCAUUGGGUUGCUCUAAAGAGCCUGCCAGAAGCCUUUGGAUCAGCAUGCAGGACUAUGCUGUCAGUAAAGAUUGGGACAGCGCAACUUUAAGUAAUGAGUCACUCUUGGAUACUGUGUCUAGAUUUGUUCUUGCAGCCCUCCUCAAACAUACAAACUUACUUAGUCAAGCAUGUGGAGAAAGCCGAUACCAACCUGGUAAAAGCUUAUCAGAAGUGUAUCGUUGUGUAUACAAAGUUCGAAGUCGUUUACUUGCUUGCAAGAACCUUGAACUUAUUCAAACCAGGUCAUCAUCACGAGACAGAUGGAUCUCAGACAACCAAGACUCUGCAGAUGUUGAUCCUCAAGAGCAUUCCUUUACCCGGA
rnacentral:lncRNA from 1 species